rnacentral:rRNA from 1 species
GGCGGGCCUAAACAUGCAAGUCGAAGCGGUAGAGAGAAGCUUGCUUCUCUUGAGAGCGGCGGACGGGUGAGUAAUGCCUAGGAAUCUGCCUGGUAGUGGGGGAUAACGUUCGGAAACGAACGCUAAUACCGCAUACGUCCUACGGGAGAAAGCAGGGGACCUUCGGGCCUUGCGCUAUCAGAUGAGCCUAGGUCGGAUUAGCUAGUUGGUGAGGUAAUGGCUCACCAAGGCGACGAUCCGUAACUGGUCUGAGAGGAUGAUCAGUCACACUGGAACUGAGACACGGUCCAGACUCCUACGGGAGGCAGCAGUGGGGAAUAUUGGACAAUGGGCGAAAGCCUGAUCCAGCCAUGCCGCGUGUGUGAAGAAGGUCUUCGGAUUGUAAAGCACUUUAAGUUGGGAGGAAGGGCAUUAACCUAAUACGUUAGUGUUUUGACGUUACCGACAGAAUAAGCACCGGCUAACUCUGUGCCAGCAGCCGCGGUAAUACAGAGGGUGCAAGCGUUAAUCGGAAUUACUGGGCGUAAAGCGCGCGUAGG